UUAAGCGACUAAGCGUACACGGUGGAUGCCCUGGCAGUCAGAGGCGAUGAAGGACGUGCUAAUCUGCGAUAAGCGUCGGUAAGGUGAUAUGAACCGUUAUAACCGGCGAUUUCCGAAUGGGGAAACCCAGUGUGAUUCGUCACACUAUCAUUAACUGAAUCCAUAGGUUAAUGAGGCGAACCGGGGGAACUGAAACAUCUAAGUACCCCGAGGAAAAGAAAUCAACCGAGAUUCCCCCAGUAGCGGCGAGCGAACGGGGAGNNNNNNNNNNNAGCCCAGAGCCUGAAUCAGUGUGUGUGUUAGUGGAAGCGUCUGGAAAGGCGCGCGAUACAGGGUGACAGCCCCGUACACAAAAAUGCACAUAUUGUGAGCUCGAUGAGUAGGGCGGGACACGUGGUAUCCUGUCUGAAUAUGGGGGGACCAUCCUCCAAGGCUAAAUACUCCUGACUGACCGAUAGUGAACCAGUACCGUGAGGGAAAGGCGAAAAGAACCCCGGCGAGGGGAGUGAAAAAGAACCUGAAACCGUGUACGUACAAGCAGUGGGAGCACGCUUAGGCGUGUGACUGCGUACCUUUUGUAUAAUGGGUCAGCGACUUAUAUUCUGUAGCAAGGUUAACCGAAUAGGGGAGCCGAAGGGAAACCGAGUCUUAACUGGGCGUUAAGUUGCAGGGUAUAGACCCGAAACCCGGUGAUCUAGCCAUGGGCAGGUUGAAGGUUGGGUAACACUAACUGGAGGACCGAACCGACUAAUGUUGAAAAAUUAGCGGAUGACUUGUGGCUGGGGGUGAAAGGCCAAUCAAACCGGGAGAUAGCUGGUUCUCCCCGAAAGCUAUUUAGGUAGCGCCUCGUGAAUUCAUCUCCGGGGGUAGAGCACUGUUUCGGCAAGGGGGUCAUCCCGACUUACCAACCCGAUGCAAACUGCGAAUACCGGAGAAUGUUAUCACGGGAGACACACGGCGGGUGCUAACGUCCGUCGUGAAGAGGGAAACAACCCAGACCGCCAGCUAAGGUCCCAAAGUCAUGGUUAAGUGGGAAACGAUGUGGGAAGGCCCAGACAGCCAGGAUGUUGGCUUAGAAGCAGCCAUCAUUUAAAGAAAGCGUAAUAGCUCACUGGUCGAGUCGGCCUGCGCGGAAGAUGUAACGGGGCUAAACCAUGCACCGAAGCUGCGGCAGCGACGCUUAUGCGUUGUUGGGUAGGGGAGCGUUCUGUAAGCCUGCGAAGGUGUGCUGUGAGGCAUGCUGGAGGUAUCAGAAGUGCGAAUGCUGACAUAAGUAACGAUAAAGCGGGUGAAAAGCCCGCUCGCCGGAAGACCAAGGGUUCCUGUCCAACGUUAAUCGGGGCAGGGUGAGUCGACCCCUAAGGCGAGGCCGAAAGGCGUAGUCGAUGGGAAACAGGUUAAUAUUCCUGUACUUGGUGUUACUGCGAAGGGGGGACGGAGAAGGCUAUGUUGGCCGGGCGACGGUUGUCCCGGUUUAAGCGUGUAGGCUGGUUUUCCAGGCAAAUCCGGAAAAUCAAGGCUGAGGCGUGAUGACGAGGCACUACGGUGCUGAAGCAACAAAUGCCCUGCUUCCAGGAAAAGCCUCUAAGCAUCAGGUAACAUCAAAUCGUACCCCAAACCGACACAGGUGGUCAGGUAGAGAAUACCAAGGCGCUUGAGAGAACUCGGGUGAAGGAACUAGGCAAAAUGGUGCCGUAACUUCGGGAGAAGGCACGCUGAUAUGUAGGUGAAGUCCCUUGCGGAUGGAGCUGAAAUCAGUCGAAGAUACCAGCUGGCUGCAACUGUUUAUUAAAAACACAGCACUGUGCAAACACGAAAGUGGACGUAUACGGUGUGACGCCUGCCCGGUGCCGGAAGGUUAAUUGAUGGGGUCAGCGCAAGCGAAGCUCUUGAUCGAAGCCCCGGUAAACGGCGGCCGUAACUAUAACGGUCCUAAGGUAGCGAAAUUCCUUGUCGGGUAAGUUCCGACCUGCACGAAUGGCGUAAUGAUGGCCAGGCUGUCUCCACCCGAGACUCAGUGAAAUUGAACUCGCUGUGAAGAUGCAGUGUACCCGCGGCAAGACGGAAAGACCCCGUGAACCUUUACUAUAGCUUGACACUGAACAUUGAGCCUUGAUGUGUAGGAUAGGUGGGAGGCUUUGAAGUGUGGACGCCAGUCUGCAUGGAGCCGGCCUUGAAAUACCACCCUUUAAUGUUUGAUGUUCUAACGUGGACCCGUGAUCCGGGUUGCGGACAGUGUCUGGUGGGUAGUUUGACUGGGGCGGUCUCCUCCUAAAGAGUAACGGAGGAGCACGAAGGUUGGCUAAUCCUGGUCGGACAUCAGGAGGUUAGUGCAAUGGCAUAAGCCAGCUUGACUGCGAGCGUGACGGCGCGAGCAGGUGCGAAAGCAGGUCAUAGUGAUCCGGUGGUUCUGAAUGGAAGGGCCAUCGCUCAACGGAUAAAAGGUACUCCGGGGAUAACAGGCUGAUACCGCCCAAGAGUUCAUAUCGACGGCGGUGUUUGGCACCUCGAUGUCGGCUCAUCACAUCCUGGGGCUGAAGUAGGUCCCAAGGGUAUGGCUGUUCGCCAUUUAAAGUGGUACGCGAGCUGGGUUUAGAACGUCGUGAGACAGUUCGGUCCCUAUCUGCCGUGGGCGCUGGAGAACUGAGGGGGGCUGCUCCUAGUACGAGAGGACCGGAGUGGACGCAUCACUGGUGUUCGGGUUGUCAUGCCAAUGGCACUGCCCGGUAGCUAAAUGCGGAAGAGAUAAGUGCUGAAAGCAUCUAAGCACGAAACUUGCCCCGAGAUGAGUUCUCCCUGACCCUUUAAGGGUCCUGAAGGAACGUUGAAGACGACGACGUUGAUAGGCCGGGUGUGUAAGCGCAGCGAUGCGUUGAGCUAACCGGUACUAAUGAACCGUGAGGCUUAACCUU
rnacentral:rRNA from 1 species